CCCCUCCUUACUGCCCGUUUUCCCUAUAUAACUGCCUCAAGAUUCCGUAAUCCUGGAAGAUGGGUUUUUGAGACAUUAGUCACUCAUCUUCCGAUUAACCAGCUAAUCUAAUUAAGCUUCCUUUCUCGAUCUCUAACUUGUGAUUAAUUGGCUCAGAUCGCAGCGAACAGAGUGAGCCCUUCCUCAGUAUUAGCACUAUUGCGUUCUUUUCCUCCAACCGUUUGCAUCUGAAUAGACCUGACUGGACUCUGCAGGAGACCCCUGGCUGAUUUGCAAGGGAGGCUAAGCAAACGAGAUCAGGAAGGGGACUGUUCUGAAGGACCAGAGGCAAAUAUCAGCCAAGAAGCAACACUGAUUCCUGGGUCUCCAGAGCAAGUGAAGAACGGGGCAGGGUCAAGAGAGCUCAUGACCUGAUGAUCUGAGGACCCAACCUGAGGAAAUAAGAGGACACUCAAAGGAACAGAUGAGUAAGAGCGCUCAGAACUUACCCAACUUCAAUGGCAAUUCCACUGAGGAGUAACCACAGUGUUGUUUUUUCAUAGAAACACCAAAUUUGGAAAUAAAACCCUGCUGGGUUUAUGUGGCACCUCAAUAUUCCACUGAUUUUUUUUCCAGAGGCCAGUGAGAAGGAGGAACCUUGUUCUUCCAGGCCUGGACAGCCAGCGCGUGACCGCAUUCAGCCCCUCCCACUCUUUGUGUCCCCCUGAUGGAGCUCUGAAUGCUCUGGGCUGGAGACCAUGGGACAGCACCUUUGAGAACCAUGUCACUGCUCUGACACACCUGCUGAGAUUCAGAAGGGUGGGGAGCAGGGGAGAGGCCCACUCUGCCUGUCCCCCAGGUGAUGGGUGAAUGUGCAAUUCCUCCAACACUGGGUGGGAAUGACUAACAGAGGAGUCCAGGCAGCUGCAGGGGGAAUCAGUUUAGCAGCUUUCUGUUGUCGACUCCACGACUUCCACAGUGAUGUCACACUCGGGUACAUCAGUGCUGUCCUACUCCAGCAGCCACGCGGCAGGGAGCCAUGGCCAGCAUGGUGCUGAGGCCAGCGGGAGACGGAGGAGGGAACGGCAUCUCUCCUGGGACUUCCCCUCUCUGGCUUUGCUGAACCCUGAGUGGACUCUCCUGGACCCCGAGUGGACUCUCUUGGACCCUGAGUGGACUCUUCCUGGCUCAUGCCUCAGAGCUCAUGGAUGCAGUCCCCAUGGGGAUCACAUGGUGAGGAGGGCUGGUUCUAAAUUCCAGGGCCUAUGGUGGCAUACUGGCUAAGUUCACGCACUCUGCUUCAGGGGCCUGGGGUUCGCAGGUUCAGAUCCCUGGUGGGGACCUAGCACCGCUCAUCAGGCUGUGCUGUGGUGACAUCCCAUAUACAAAAAAUUAGAGGAAGAUGAGCACAGAUGUUAGCUCAGGGCCAAUCUUCCUCACCAAAUGAAUAAAUAAAUAAAUUCCAGGGCCCCAAACCAUGAGGCCUACUUGGCUGUGUGAACCAAU
rnacentral:lncRNA from 1 species